UUGUUCAUGUCUAGACGCGAUGCCGUAUUGGUCUAUGGUACUUGCGCUAUUAACUUACCCCCUGCGUCUUGACUCCCAGCAUCUAGGUUACAGAAUACUGCUUCACAAAAUGGAAACAGCAGAUGGUCGACAAGCAGGGAUACCUACUUUGUAAUCACCAUGACCAGCGGGCACAACUAGGGACGGCUAUGGAAGAGGCUCUUCGCAGUGUUCAACGUCUUGAACAUACCAGAGGAGUUGCCUUCAACUAGUGGAGGAUACUCUACCACCAGCCCAUUCAGCUAACUGUGCAGGUCAGCGAUGUCCCUCCUGGAUAAAUAUGACAGCACCCCAUGUAAAUGCUGUGGCUUCUGACUACAGUAUUCUACUUUUCGCACCAGAUGGGAACUCCUACUGCCGAGAGGUCCAAGGUUGCCACGGUUAUUUCUCUGCUGACUGGGUGGGCAUUGGAAUGGGCCAUAGAUGUCUGGGAGAGGAGCUGGAUUCGUAUGCAGGGUUCAUGGCUCGGUUCAGAGGUAUCUUCGAUCAUCCACUGGAGGGCAGAGAGGGGUGAGUGCCUACUACAACUACGGAGGACCAGAUGACUGCUGAGUACGCACUCAUCUGGACAGUAGCAACAUCCAGUGGCCUGACUGUGCGAAGAGGUUCAGACGGGACUGGCCUAUCGAGGACAACCUCUGCUUGAUAUCACUCAUUGUGAUAGCCAUCCAGUUGGAUAACCUUUUUUUGGGAGCAUCGGCACUCAUCACUUCUCUCCCUCCCUCAGGUAACACUUUGGAUCAGAGCCUGAACCCAUGAGGGUAUGGGUCACUUGCCUCCCCGCAGUGGAGCAAUGCAGGUGGCGAUAGCGUCUGCUAAAUGACUUAAAUGUAAUGUAAUGAUAGCUGGGGCUCUGUCUCUAUUGUGGGCACCUGCUCCAGCAGUGUACGAUACGGCCCAACUCGGGAUCCACAAGUGUAGAGGGAUGGUCACGCUAUCUUUUACUUCCUGGGGCAGAUCAAUAGUGGAUUCCUGUGCUGCGGGGAACUUUAUUGACCAGACCCUUGCCUCAACUUCAACUAAUACCCGCUCUCCUCGCCUUUCCUGGUUCAAGCCCUCGAUAAUCAGUAAUUAGGUUCCGGGACCAUCAGACACAUCAAACUACUCACUGUGCCCCCAUGCAGAUGCAUCUACCCUCUGUCGGUGGCUGAAACCCAGGCCAUCGAAGAGUACAUUCAUGAGGCGCUCCAACAAGGUUUCAUCCGCACGUCCACUUCUCCCGUGUCCGCAGGUUAAUUCUUCGUGGCCAAGGAUGGAGGUUUACGCCUAUGUAUUGAUUACAGAGGACUCGAUGACAUCACCAAGUACCGUUACCCUCUCCCAUUGUUGCCGGCAGCCAUUAAAGAGCUCUGCGGGGCUCAGUUUAACUUUUUUAUUUUUUAACCAAAUUGGACCUGCGGAGUACAUACAAUCUCAUCUGCAUCAGGGAGGAGGAUGACUGGAAGACAGCUUUUAGCACAAUAUCUGGUCACUGGAGGAUCACUUUGCGUGGAUGAAAAAUUAAGACUACAGUGGAGACCCUGAAUUAUCCCUCCUUCUGGAAACCACAGGAGAGUUGGGAAUGAGAGGAUGGGAAGUGUCAUAAUGCUGCCCAAGAGCUUCUAGAAGUGCUAUGGAGACAUCCUUCUGUCAGUGGAGAUCCAAGCUGCUGUCUGAAUUGAUGAUAAAGAUGGAUGGCAGAAAGCCCUACCCUGAACAUGUUGGGGUUACUACGCUCCAUGAGCACUAUGCUGAGGAUUUAGAAUUGGUUGACCUAAUGAAGAUGCUCCCCGAUCUCUUUGGAUGUGUCUACAUGUUGGCCAAGAAAAAGGGCUGGAAUUCAAGGCCUGGUCUGAAAAACGUAUUUCAGAAAGAUAUAAACUCAUGGUUCUGAUAUGUAAAUUGUCAUGUGAAGUGAUGAAAUAUAACCUAUUGUAGUACUUUUGACUUUUGUAGGUAGAGCCACUGAUCUUAACUGUUUUAAGAACAUUUUAUAUUCUAUAUCUUCACAGAUGUAAACCAUAUGAUUUUUACGAAUCUUACAUGGUUAUAGCCUACAUAUUAUGGGAGUUCAUAUGAAAAUACAGUACACACAAAGCUUUGAUAAAAUUAGUGGUUACUUUUUUACUUCAGGUAAGGUAUAUGAUCUGUAUGAGAUUUCAGGGAUGUCUGGAUUAAAGUAUUGACAUCCUA